AUUGAACGCUGGCGGCAGGCCUAACACAUGCAAGUCGAACGAGUGGCGGACGGGUGAGUAAUGUCUGGGAAACUGCCUGAUGGAGGGGGAUAACUACUGGAAAAGGUCGCUAAUACCGCAUACCACCAUAUGUGCCCAGAUGGGUUUAUCUAGUUGGUGGGGUAACGGCUGACCAAGGCGACGAUCCCUAGCUGGUCUGAGAGGAUGACCAGCCACACUGGAACUGAGACACGGCCCAGACUCCUACGGGAGGCAGCAGUGGGGAAUAUUGCGCAAUGGGCGCAAGCCUGAGGGAGCAAUGCCGCGUGUGUGAAGAAGGCCUUCGGAUUGUAAAGCACUUUCAGCGGGGAGGCGUUACCCGCAGAAGGAGCACCGGCUAACUCCGUGCCAGCAGCCGCGGUAAUUC
rnacentral:rRNA from 1 species